AGAGAGAGAGAGAGAGAGAGAGAGAGAGAGAGAGAGAGAGAGUGAAGGCUGAUCCGAGAGAGAUGAAGAACAUAAGACGGGAAGAGGAAGAACUAUUUGAUACACCAAGUUGUGGAGAAUAGGUAUGGAGUGAGUAGAUAUCCUACAUUGAAAUUUUUUUCCAAAGGGCAACAAGGAUGGUGAAGUGUAUGGUGGAGGCUGAGAUUUGGAAUAUUUUGUAAAUUUCAUCAGUGAGAAAUGUAGGACUAGCACAGAUGCGAAAGGGCAACUUACUUCCAUAGUUAGUACCA